rnacentral:misc_RNA from 1 species
GAUGAAGAACGUAGCGAAAUGCGAUAAGUAGUGUGAAUUGCAGAAUUCAGUGAAUCAUCGAAUCUUUGAACGCACAUUGCGCCCCAUGGUAUUCCGUGGGGCAUGCCUGUUCGAGCGUCAUUUACCCCCUCAAGCUCCGCUUGGUGUUGGGCGUCUGUCCCGCUUCGCGCGCGGACUCGCCCCAAAGGUAUUGGCAGGGGUCGUGCCAGCUUCUCGCGCAGCACAUUGCGCUUCUCGAGGCACCGGUGGGCCCGCGUCCAUCAAGCUCACCCCCCCAGUUUGACCUCGGAUCAGGUAGGGAUACCCGCUGAACUUAAGCAUAUCAAUAAGCGGAGGA